AGUUGCUAGUCUGCCCGCGCGGUGGCCGGAGGGAAGGAGCGAGGGGGCGGGCCCUUUUACCUUUCGCGCGCAUGCGUGUGGGCUGCAGCCUUCUCCCGCCGCCUGGGGGGGCUGCGGGUGAGGGCUCUUUGGGGGCGUGUGUAGGUUUCGAGGGUCACCUGAGGGGUUUGGAAGAUUUCUUUGGGGGGGCGGUUACAAGAUUUGGGGGUUCCUUUUCCAUUUGCAAAAUGUUCUGGGGCUUGGGGAAGUUUUAACGUGGGUUUAGGGGAUACUUUUGGGGUUCUCUCGCGCUUAAGGGGCACCUUGGAGUUUGGGUUCGUUUGUAAUGCGGAAGGUUCGGUUGUGUUUUCGGGAUCGGGUUCCCUUUGUGUUUUGGAGUGUUUGUUGGGCAUAGAAUUUGGGGAGCUCCCGGAGAGACAGAAGCAAAGAGCCCGAGAGUACCAGUCCUGGAGGUGGAAUGUCUGGGCUCGCGUCUUGACUUCCUACCUGUCUUAACCCGGACAGGAGAUUUCACCUGUGUCUCAUCGGGAACUAGGCAUUAAUAACACUACCUGCUUCCUAGGGACCGAGGAGGAUUAGGAAUUGUUAGCGCAGUACCUACCUAGUAAGCUCGCAGCGAGCGUGCAGUAAGCACAUGUCUGCUAUUGUAACAUUUGUGAGGUUUCUUUGUUUUUUUUUUUUGGCUUUGUGAAACAUUUUUAUGGUUUAAGAUUCAUCUUAAAGUGUUAGGGAGCUUUUGUGUUUUCAAAGAGUUCGUCUGCUGUUGGAGGCUUCUAGUGGAAUUGGGAGAUAAUGGAGGAGGGUUGGGGGGAGUAUAGGAUUCCGGGAGAGUGAUUGUUUAUGACAUAGUUUGGGGAAUUGCUGUGUUGGGAUCUGUGAGAGAUUGACUGAGAUUCGGCCCUUCAGUGCUGGAGAGGAUAUUUUUAGGUUCGGUGGUUUAAAGUAGUAUUUGAAAGCUUUUCGAUAUUUGGGGGAGGACAUUGAGAUGCUGGGGGUAAGGUUGGAACUGAUUAGGGGACUUGAGGGGGUGGCCAGGUUGUAGCAGGAUGGCAUCUGUAGAGACUGGCUUUUGCUGUGUUAGCCUGCCUCCCUGGGCAGUUGGUUAUACAGGUCAAGUAUCCCUUACCCGAAAAUCUUGGGACUAAAAAGUGUUUCGGAUUUUGGAUUUCUUCGGAUUUUGAGUAUUUGCAUUAUACUUAUCAGUUGAGUAUGCCAAGUCUGAAAAAUCUGAAAUGCUCUAAUGAGCAUAUCCUAUCAGUGUCAUCUUGGCACUCAAAAAGUUCUGAAUUUGGGAGCAUUUUGGAUUUUCAGAUUUGAGAUACUCAACAUGUAUGUGAAUUGGUGGUUGGUAAACAGCCAUCUAUAGGUUUUGGAGGCUGUGGAGUGAUAUUUUUAACACUGAGCUGAGAUUACAGCAGGGACUGUAAGUAUUUGAGGGGUAGGUGGGAUUGGGGAUUAUGGAGUGGAGAUAAAGAUUCUUGACAUGGGGAUUCUCUGUGUUUACUGGUACCUGUGAGUGCUUGGAGGCUGUCUGGAUUUUGUUUUGUUUUCUUUCUUUUUUUUUUUUUUUUUUUUGAGAUGGAGUUUAGCUCUUGUCGCCCAGGCUGGAGUGCAGUGGCAAGAUCUCAGUUCACUGCAACCUCCGCCUCCCGGUUCAAGCUAUUCUCCUGCCUCAGCCUCCUGAGUAGAUGGGACUACAGGCGCGCACCACCACGCCUGGCUAAUUUUUGUAUUUUUAGUAGAGACGGGGUUUUGCCAUGUUAGCCAGGCUGAUCUCGAAUUCCUGACAUCAGAUGAUCCGCCUGCCUCGGCCUCCCAAAGUGCUGGGAUUACAGGUGUGAGCCACUGUGCCAGGCCUGGAAUUGUUUGAAUUUAGAGGGAUGGUCUGUACUGCAGGAGUUGGCAAACUUUUUCCAUAAAGAGCCAGAUAAUGGGUAUUUUAAGCUUUGCAGGCCAUGUGGUCUUUGUUCUGCUAUUCAGCUCUGCUGUUGAAGAUGAAAGCAUCCAUAAACAAAUGAGCAUGUUUCAAUAAAACUUUAUUUACAAAGACAGCGAGCUGGAUUAGGCUUCUGGGCCAUAGUUUGCUGACCUCUCUGGCCUGUAGGCAUGUGGAAGUUUCAAGGUUUAAAGGGUCAUUUUGGUUUUGAGCUGUCUGGAGGGAGAUGAGCCAGAGAAAGAUUGAGGCAUAUGUUACUUAGUAGGUUCAAACUGCAGUGAAAGUGAUCAUGUCGGACUCAUGCGCAAGAUUGCCUCCAGAUUAGGUCAUUCACAUCAAGUCAUUCCAAAAUAAAAUAGUCAUUAACAGAGCCCUAAAUUGAAGAGUCCAGAAAUCAAGUUGAGAGCCUCUUUUUGCUCCGGACCCACUGUAAUCUUAGCUAUGUCACCCUUCCCCACUCUGAGCCUCUGUUUAUCUGUGUGCAGCUUGAGGAGAAAGCUAGGCUAGAACAGGCACCCUCGUGUUUUCUUUCUUUUUUUUUCCCAAGAUGGGUUCUCUCUCAGUCACCCAGGCUGGAGUGCAGUGGUAUGAUCACAGCAUCACAGCUCACUGCAGCCUCCACCUCCUGGGCUCAAGCGAUACUCCCACCUCAGCCUCCCAACUAGCUGGGACUACAGGUGCGCCACACCCCACCCGGCUAAUUUUUGUAUCUUUUUUCGUAGAGAUGGAUUUUGCCCAGGCUGGUCUCAAACUCCUGGGCUCAAGCAAUCUGCCCACCUCGGCCUCCCAAAGUGCUAAGAUUACAGGCACAAGCCACCACACCCGGCUUUGUUCUCUGUUUUUUAGAGGGUCUCACUCUGUCACCCGGGUUGGAGUGCAGUGGUGCCAUCAUUGCUCCCUGCAGCCUGGAACUCCUCCUAGGCUCUAGAACAGGCCCUCUUACUCCGCGGGUCCACGGCUGUGCUUUAGGGAAUCCCCUGUACUGUCUUUGCAAGGGUGUGCAUUUUUCUGACUGAGGACACACAGCUUUAAUAAAUUCUCAUUAAGCCCCACUACCUG
rnacentral:lncRNA from 1 species